rnacentral:rRNA from 1 species
UACGUAUGGUGCAAGCGUUAUCCGGAUUUACUGGGUGUAAAGGGAGCGCAGGCGGUGCGGCAAGUCUGAUGUGAAAGCCCGGGGCUCAACCCCGGUACUGCAUUGGAAACUGUCGUACUAGAGUGUCGGAGGGGUAAGCGGAAUUCCUAGUGUAGCGGUGAAAUGCGUAGAUAUUAGGGGGAACACCAGUGGCGAAGGCGGCUUACUGGACGAUAACUGACGCUGAGGCUCGAAAGCGUGGGGAGCAAACAGG